UAAGAGAAUUUAUUAUGAAAUGGAGAUAAAACAAAUUAACAAGAUACAUUAAAUUCAAGGUUGCCAGUCAUCUUUACAACAACUUGGUGUUUGAAUAAUAGGGAAUAUAUUACAUAUGAUGAAAAAUUAUUAUGAUAAUUUUAAAAAUUGCCAUGUGGGAAAAAAAGGAAAUAGGUAGAAGACGUAGUAUGAUACGUAGAAUAAGCAGUUGGCUACCAACAUUUCCAUUACCAAAAAUAUGCAUCAAAAUCAAUGUAAACAAAAAGUUUUUAAAUAAAUUUGAAAAUUCUUCUGAAUUAAAUACAUCUCAUUCCAAAUUUAAUGAUGGACUAAAUAUUAUU
rnacentral:lncRNA from 1 species